GGAAACAGAUGCUAAUACCGGAUACAACAGAUGAUGCCUAUCAACUGUUUAAAGAUGGUUCUGCUAUCACUCUUGGAUGGACCUGCGGUGCAUUAGCUAGUUGGUAGGGUAACGGCCUACCAAGGCGAUGAUGCAUAGCCGAGUUGAGAGACUGAUCGGCCACAUUGGGACUGAGACACGGCCCAAACUCCUACGGGAGGCAGCAGUG
rnacentral:rRNA from 1 species